GGAUCCAGACUUUGAUUAUGGCUCAGGAUGAACGCUAGCUACAGGCUUAACACAUGCAAGUCGAGGGGAAACGACAUCAAAAGCUUGCUUUUGAUGGGCGUCGACCGGCGCACGGGUGAGUAACGCGUAUCCAACCUGCCCACCACUUGGGGAUAACCUUGCGAAAGUAAGACUAAUACCCAAUGACGUCUCUAGAAGACAUCUGAAGGAGAUUAAAGAUUUAUCGGUGAUGGAUGGGGAUGCGUCUGAUUAGCUUGUUGGCGGGGUAACGGCCCACCAAGGCGACGAUCAGUAGGGGUUCUGAGAGGAAGGUCCCCCACAUUGGAACUGAGACACGGUCCAAACUCCUACGGGAGGCAGCAGUGAGGAAUAUUGGUCAAUGGACGAGAGUCUGAACCAGCCAAGUAGCGUGCAGGAUGACGGCCCUAUGGGUUGUAAACUGCUUUUAUAAGGGAAUAAAGUGAGUCUCGUGAGACUUUUUGCAUGUACCUUAUGAAUAAGGACCGGCUAAUUCCGUGCCAGCAGCCGCGGUAAUACGGAAGGUCCGGGCGUUAUCCGGAUUUAUUGGGUUUAAAGGGAGCGUAGGCCGGAGAUUAAGCGUGUUGUGAAAUGUAGACGCUCAACGUCUGCACUGCAGCGCGAACUGGUUUCCUUGAGUACGCACAAAGUGAGCGGAAUUCGUGGUGUAGCGGUGAAAUGCUUAGAUAUCACGAAGAACUCCGAUUGCGAAGGCAGCUCACUGGAGCGCAACUGACGCUGAAGCUCGAAAGUGCGGGUAUCGAGCAGGAUUAGAUACCCUGGUAGUCCGCACGGUAAACGAUGGAUGCCCGCUGUUGGUCUGAAUAGGUCAGCGGCCAAGCGAAAGCAUUAAGCAUCCCACCUGGGGAGUACGCCGGCAACGGUGCAACUCAAAUGAAUUGACGG
rnacentral:rRNA from 1 species